AGCAGUAGCCGCGGUAAUACGAGGGGGGCAAGCGUUGUUCGGAAUUAUUGGGCGUAAAGGGUGCGUAGGCGGUUUGGCAAGUUUGGUGUGAAAUCUUCGGGCUCAACUCGAAGUCUGCAUCGAAAACUGCCGGGCUUGAGUAUGGGAGAGGUGAGUGGAAUUUCCGGUGUAGCGGUGAAAUGCGUAGAUAUCGGAAGGAACACCUGUGGCGAAAGCGGCUCACUGGACCAUAACUGACGCUGAUGCACGAAAGCUAGGGGAGCAAACAGGAUUAGAUACCCCCGUAGUCCCUGUCUCUUAUAA
rnacentral:rRNA from 1 species